AACGCGAAGAACCUUACCUACCCUUGACAUGGCUGGAAUCCUUCAGAGAUGAGGGAGUGCUCGAAAGAGAACCAGUACACAGGUGCUGCAUGGCUGUCGUCAGCUCGUGUCGUGAGAUGUUGGGUUAAGUCCCGCAACGAGCGCAACCCUUGUCAUUAGUUGCUACGAAAGGGCACUCUAAUGAGACUGCCGGUGACAAACCGGAGGAAGGUGGGGAUGACGUCAAGUCCUCAUGGCCCUUAUGGGUAGGGCUUCACACGUCAUACAAUGGUACAUACAGAGGGCCGCCAACCCGCGAGGGGGAGCUAAUCCCAGAAAGUGUAUCGUAGUCCGGAUUGUAGUCUGCAACUCGACUACAUGAAGUUGGAAUCGCUAGUAAUCGCGGAUCAGCAUGUCGCGGUGAAUACGUUCCCGGGCCUUGUA
rnacentral:rRNA from 1 species